rnacentral:lncRNA from 1 species
CUGAGGUCUUGCGUUUUGCUUUUGCUGGCCAGGGACGAAGGAUGAACUUACUGCUGUGAAUGUAAAGCAAGGCUUCAAUAAUCAGCCAGCCUUCACUGGAGAUGAACAUGGCUCAGCCAGAAAUAUUGUAAUUAACCCAUCAAAGAUUGGAGCUUAUUUUAGCAGCAUAUUAGCUGAGAAACUGAAGCUUAACACUUUCCAGGACACGGGAAAGAAGAAACCACAAGUUAAUGCUAAAGAUAAUUAUUGGCUGGUUACUGCUCGAUCCCAGAGUGCAAUUCAUAGUUGGUUUUCUGACUUAGCAGGAAAUAAGCCACUUUCUAUUUUGG